GAUGAACGCUGGCGGCGUGCCUAACACAUGCAAGUCGAACGGACAGACGAUGAGCUUGCGCUUCUGACGUUGGCGACGGGCGGGUGAGUAACGAGUAAAUAGCCCUCCUCUUUGACGUGGAUAACUUCGGGAAGCCGGAGCUACUACUAGAGAAUAUAUCUAACCGCAGGGUGCAGUAGAGAUUGGCGGUUUGGGUGUCACUUAGAGACGGAUCCGCGUCGCAUUAUCGAGUUGGUAAGGUAACGGCUUACCAAGGAGACGAUGCGUAGCCGAGCUGAGAGGGUGAUCGGCCACACUGGAACUGAGACACGGUCCAGACUCCUACGGGAGGCAGCAGUAGGGAAUAUUGGGCAAUGGGCGAAAGCUUGACGGAGCCACGCCGCGUGGGUGAUGAAGGUCUUCGGGUCGUAAAACUCUGUUAUUGGGGAAGAACAAAUGUGUAAGUAACUAUGCAUGUUGUGACGGUACCUAAUAAAAAAGCACCGGCUAACUACGUG
rnacentral:rRNA from 1 species